GGAUCAACAAGAACGCCAGCCACGCAACAAAGGACGCGGUAGCCAUGGCGUCCUCCUCCCGCUCCCACCAAGAAGCGGAGGACGGGGAGCUCCAUGGCGAUCGCAUCACCUCCCCACUCCUGCCGGCGUCGACGUCGCGCAGCUCGCCGGAGCGGGAUGAGGAGGAGGAGGGGGAGAACUCGCCGAUCGAGCAGGUGGCGCUGACGGUGCCGGUGGGCGACGACCCGGACACCCCCGUGCUGACGUUCCGGAUGUGGGUCCUCGGCGUCCUCUCCUGCGCCGUGCUCUCCUUCCUCAACCAGUUCUUCUGGUACCGCAAGGAGCCGCUCACCGUCACCGCCAUCUCCGCCCAGGUCGCCGUCGUGCCGCUCGGCCGGCUCAUGGCGGCCGCGCUGCCGGAGCGCCCCUUCCUCCGUGGCACACACUACGAGUUCACCCUCAACCCGGGCCCGUUCAACGUGAAGGAGCACGUGCUGAUCACCAUCUUCGCCAACGCCGGCGCCGGCACCGUCUACGCCAUCCACGUGGUCACCGCCGUCCGCGUCUUCUGCGGCAAGGACCUCACCUUCUUCGUCUCUCUCCUCGUCGUGCUCACCACCCAGGUGCUCGGGUUCGGGUGGGCGGGCAUAUUCCGGCGGUACCUCGUGGAGCCGGCGAGCAUGUGGUGGCCGUCCAACCUCGUGCAGGUCUCCCUCUUCAGAGGAAAUCCUUUGGAGAGUAUUUGCUCCCUCAAACCGGAGGUGUCGCUCGAGCAAUUUAGGACAUGUUGUAUGAAAAUUUCUUUCAUGUGGGCUCUCCAUGAGAAAGAAGGGCGCCGAAAAGGCGGCUUCACGCGCAACCAGUUCUUCCUGGUGGCAUUCGUUUGCAGCUUCGCGUACUACGUCUUCCCGGGCUAUCUGUUCCAGAUGCUCACCUCCCUCUCCUGGAUCUGCUGUGUCUUCCCCCACUCCGUGCUUGCCCAGCAGCUCGGCUCAGGCCUCCAUGGGCUCGGCAUUGGCGCCAUCGGCCUCGACUGGGCGUCCGUCUCUAGCUACCUUGGGAGCCCUCUUGUCAGCCCGUGGUUCGCCACCGUGAAUGUCGCUGCAGGCUUCUUCAUCAUCAUGUACGUAAUCACCCCCAUCGGGUACUGGUUUAACUUCUACAAGGCACAGACCUUCCCCAUCUUCUCUGCCGAUCUCUUCACCUUGACCGGGCAGAAGUACAACAUCUCGGCCAUCGUGGACGACCAUUUCCAUUUCGACAAGGAGGCGUACGAGAGAAACGGGCCACUAUACCUCAGCACUCUCUUGGCAAUCACAUACGGUGUUAGCUUUGCAUCCCUUAGCGCGACGAUUGUUCAUGCUCUUCUGUUCCACGGAAGUUAAGUAGAUCAACAUUUCGAGGAAAAAGUGUGGACGUACAUACAAAGCUAAUGAGGAGAUAUAAGCAGGUCCCUGAGUGGUGGUUCAUCUGCAUCCUUCUUGUUAGCAUUGCUGCCACUGUAUUUGCUUGCGAGUACUACAUCGAGCAGCUCCAGCUGCCCUGGUGGGGUGUACUGCUUGCAUGCGCCAUUGCCUUUUUCUUCACCCUCCCAAUUGGAAUCAUCACGGCGACAACAAACCAGACCCCAGGAUUGAACAUCGUCACAGAGUACAUCAUUGGGUUCUUGUACCCUGGACGACCCGUCGCGAAUAUGUGCUUUAAGGUUUAUGGGUAUAUCAGCAUGCACCAAGCUCUGAUGUUUCUGCAAGAUUUUAAGUUGGGCCACUAUAUGAAGAUUCCCCCAAGGGCAAUGUUUAUGGCUCAGGUGGUAGGAACAUCGAUUGCGGCAUUUGUGUACCUUGGAACGGCGUGGUGGCUUAUGGACACAAUCCCCAACAUCUGCAACAUCGAGCUUCUCUCAGCGGACAGCCCUUGGACAUGCCCCGCCGAUCAUGUGUUCUAUGAUGCAUCGGUCAUAUGGGGUCUUAUUGGCCCACGCAGAAUAUUCGGGGCCUUGGGAACUUACUCGGCAGUGAACUGGUUCUUCUUGGGAGGUGCCAUUGCUCCUCUCUUGGUAUGGUUUGCACACAAGGCAUUCCCGGGCCAGAACUGGAUCUUACUCAUCAACAUGCCUGUGAUGAUCGGUUGCACCGUCAAGAUGCCGCCUGCCACCGCUGUAAACUACACCACAUGGAUACUUGUUGGGUUUUUGUCAGGUUAUGUGGUCUAUAGAUAUCGACGAGACUGGUGGGAACGACACAAUUAUCUGCUCUCAGGUGCACUAGAUGCAGGUUUGGCGUUCAUGGCUGUCUUAAUUUACUUGUGCCUAGGCUUGGAGAACAUCAGUUUGAAUUGGUGGGGCAAUGACUUGGAUGGAUGUCCGCUGGCUUCUUGCCCCACUGCUAAAGGUAUAGUUGUCAAGGGGUGCCCUGUGUACAACUGAACAUUUUUCUCAGGUCCCUGAUUUUUUCCGGAAGUGAGCAAGCAUGCAUUGAUAUGUAAAUAAAAUAUCUUUGUUCCUUUCAAAGAUGAGAAAGCUGGUGUCAUUCUAUUGUUCAAAAUAUCAGAAAACAGGAACGUCCUCGGUAGUAACCUCCUAAAGAACAAUUUUAGUGCCAAUAGAUUUUUGC
rnacentral:rRNA from 1 species